rnacentral:rRNA from 1 species
CACGUAGGGCGCAAGCGUUGUCCGGAAUUAUUGGGCGUAAAGAGCUCGUAGCGGUCUGUUGCGUCCGCUGUGAAAACUCGGGGCUUAACCCCGAGCCUGCAGUGGAUACGGGCAGACUAGAGGUAGGUAGGGGAGAAUGGAAUUCCCGGUGUAGCGGUGAAAUGCGCAGAUAUCGGGAGGAACACCGGUGGCGAAGGCGGUUCUCUGGGCCUUACCUGACGCUGAGGAGCGAAAGCGUGGGGAGCGAACAGGAUUGAG